GGGCUCAGUGGUAAAGCACUCGCUUAGCAAGUGUGAGGCACUGGGUUCGAUCCUCAGCACCA
rnacentral:tRNA from 1 species